CCUACGGGAGGCAGCAGUGAGGAAUAUUGGUCAAUGGACGCAAGUCUGAACCAGCCAUGCCGCGUGCAGGAAGACGGCUCUAUGAGUUGUAAACUGCUUUUGUACGAGGGUAAACGCAGAUACGCGUAUCUGUCUGAAAGUAUCGUACGAAUAAGGAUCGGCUAAGUCCGUGCCAGCAGCCGCGGUACGACGGAGGGUUCAAGCGUUAUCCGGAUUUAUUGGGGUUAAAGGGUGCGUAGGUGGUCGGAUAAGUUAGAGGUGAAAUCCCGAGGCUUAACUUCGGAAUUGCCUCUGAUACUGUUCGGCUAGAGAGUAGUUGCGGUAGGCAGAAUGUAUGGUGUAGCGGUGAAAUGCUUAGAG
rnacentral:rRNA from 1 species